CGUUGUUCGGAUUUACUGGGCGUAAAGCGCACGUAGGCGGUUCGUUAAGUCCGGGGUGAAAUCCUGGAGCUCAACUCCAGAACUGCCUUCGAUACUGGCGAUCUUGAGUCCGGAAGAGGUGAGUGGAACUCCUAGUGUAGAGGUGGAAUUCGUAGAUAUUAGGAAGAACACCAGUGGCGAAGGCGGCUCACUGGACUGGUAUUGACGCUGAGGUGCGAAAGCGUGGGGAGCAAACAGG
rnacentral:rRNA from 1 species